ACCCUUAGUAGAGCGGCGCACGGGUGCGUAACACGUGGAUAAUCUGCCUGGAUGCCUGGGAUAACCAGUCGAAAGAUUGGCUAAUACCGGAUAAGCCCACGGUCUCUUCGGAGACUGAGGGAAAAGGUGGCCUCUGUAUACAAGCUAUCACAACCAGAUGAGUCCGCGGCCCAUCAGCUAGUUGGCGGGGUAAUGGCCCACCAAGGCAACGACGGGUAGCUGGUCUGAGAGGACGAUCAGCCACACUGGAACUGAGACACGGUCCAGACUCCUACGGGAGGCAGCAGUGGGGAAUUUUGCGCAAUGGGCGAAAGCCUGACGCAGCAACGCCGCGUGUGUGAUGAAGGUCUUUGGAUUGUAAAGCACUUUCGACCGGGACGAAAACCCGAAGGCUAACAUCCUUCGGCUUGACGGUACCGGGAGAAGAAGCACCGGCUAACUCUGUGCCAGCAGCCGCGGUAAUACAGAGGGUGCAAGCGUUGUUCGGAAUUAUUGGGCGUAAAGCGCGUGUAGGCGGCUUUGCAAGUCGGGUGUGAAAGCCCUCAGCUCAACUGAGGAAGUGCGCCCGAAACUGCAGAGCUUGAGUGCCGGAGAGGGUGGCGGAAUUCCCCAAGUAGAGGUGAAAUUCGUAGAUAUGGGGAGGAACACCGGUGGCGAAGGCGGCCACCUGGACGGUAACUGACGCUGAGACGCGAAAGCGUGGGUAGCAAACAGGAUUAGAUACCCUGGUAGUCCACGCCGUAAACGAUGAGAACUAGGUGUCGUGGGAGUUGACCCCCGCGGUGCCGUAGCUAACGCAUUAAGUUCUCCGCCUGGGAAGUACGGUCGCAAGACUAAAACUCAAANGAAAUUGACGGGGGCCCGCACAAGCGGUGGAGCAUGUGGUUUAAUUCGACGCAACGCGCAGAAACCUUACCUGGUCUUGACAUCCUCGGAAUCCUUCAGAGAUGAGGGAGUGCCCGCAAGGGAACCGAGAGACAGGUGC
rnacentral:rRNA from 1 species